rnacentral:rRNA from 1 species
AUGGGGACUAUUACUGCUGGAUUCCAUCUUUUAUUUCUCAUUCCCACAAUUGCAUUGCAUGCCCAUGCCUCAUCUCAGGAAGCGCAUCUCACAAAAUUCCUCUCGUCUAAAAGAUCCAAAAGCAACAUCAGCAACAAAAUUGGUGAUCCUACCGGUUUCCAUGGCGGACCAUUUCUCAGAAUCACCAGCAGCCCCCGAACAGAUGGGUACCCGGGCUCCAACCACAUCGCUCUGAAGGCGGCCGACAAGAUCUCGGCGCUGCCAGGGCAGCCGGAGGGCGUCGACUUCGACCAGUAUGGCGGGUACGUGACUGUCGACGGCCAUAAUGGCCGUGCACUCUUCUACUACUUCGUGGAAUCUCCCGGCAACCCGGCGGCGAAGCCACUCCUCCUGUGGCUCAACGGAGGGCCUGGGUGCUCGUCGCUGGGCUUUGGAGCGAUGCGUGAAUUGGGCCCUUUCCGGGUGAACAGAGACAACCAAACCCUCACUAGGAACAACCAUGCCUGGAACAACGUGGCAAACGUCAUCUUUCUGGAAUCACCCGCCGGCGUGGGGUUCUCCUACUCCAACACGUCUUCUGAUUACGACAGGAUGGGGGAUCCAUUGACAGCCCAGGACACCUACGCCUUCCUCGUCAACUGGCUUGACAGGUUCCCCGAGUACAAGGCACGCGCCCUCUACAUCGCCGGCGAGAGCUACGCCGGCCACUAUGUGCCCCAGCUCGCCGCCACCAUCUUAGCCCACAACAACGACACGGGUGUCAUACUAAAUCUCAAGGGCAUCUUGGUCGGAAACCCGCUUCUGGACGACGCGAAGGAGGAGAGAGGGCACCACGAGUACCUAUGGAACCACGGGGUGAUCUCCGACGAGGUAUGGGCCGAAAUCGCCGGCCACUGCAACUUCAGCGACGACUCCGCCUAUGGUGAUGAUAGGUGCUACAAAGCUAUUACUAAAUCCCAGUAUGAGAGUGAGGACCUCGACAUCUACAACAUAUACGCUCCCACCUGCAUCACUGACAACAACGGCUCCUACUACUCCAGCAGCCAAUUACCUGGGUACGAUCCGUGCGGCGAAGCGCCUACCAUGGCCUACCUGAACCUUCCUGCGGUGCAAAGGGCUUUCCAUGCUAGAGAAACCAAAUGGAGUGACUGCAAAAUCUUUGUGGAUUUCAAGGACUCGCCGGAUACCAUGGUGCCAACCUUGAAAUGGCUAAUCGGCCAUGGCUUGCCCGUGUGGCUCUUCAGUGGGGAUUUGGACUCAAGGUGCCCGAUCACCAGCACGAGGCACGCCAUCCGCGACCUCAACCUCUCCGUCACCGAGCCAUGGCGUCCAUGGACGGUCAGCCAUGAGGUAGGGGGCUAUGUUCAACAGUACAAGGGAGGGUUCACGUUCGCUACCGUGAGAGGAGCAGGGCACACGGUCCCGACCUUCCAACCCGAGAGAGCCCUCAUACUGCUCCAGUCCUUUCUCAAAGGGAUCCUCCCGCCUUACGAGAAGGCAAAGUAG